rnacentral:rRNA from 1 species
GGGGAAUAGCCCAGGGAAACUUGGAUUAAUGCCCCAUAGUAUUAUUUUGUAGCAUUACAUUAUAAUUAAAGAUUUAUCGGUACAAGAUGAGCAUGCGUCCCAUUAGUUAGUUGGUAAGGUAACGGCUUACCAAGACAGCGAUGGGUAGGGGCCCUGAGAGGGGGAUCCCCCACACUGGUACUGAGACACGGACCAGACUCCUACGGAAGGCAGCAGUGAGGAAUAUUGGACAAUGGGCGAAAGCCUGAUCCAGCCAUGCCGCGUGCAGGAAGACGGCCCUAUGGGUUGUAAACUGCUUUUGU